rnacentral:tRNA from 1 species
GCCUAGUUAGCUUGGUUGGUAGCGCGUCUGCCUUGUAAGCGCUAGACCGCGGGUUCGAUUCCCGCCCGGGGCG